GUGUCUGAUGAUGAUCAAAUCAUGCAUACUCUUGCUGGAUUAGGUCCAGAGUAUGAUUCUGUCAUGGUUACCAUCACAUCUAAGCCGGAGGUUUGGACUCUCGGUGAUGUAAGCUCUCUGCUGCUAAGCUUUGAAA